rnacentral:tRNA from 1 species
GUACCGGAAGGUGCACUUGGAUAAACUCAGGGCUUAAUUAGCACAGAUAUAGCGUC